AGAGUUUGAUCAUGGCUCAGAUUGAACGCUGGCGGCAGGCCUAACACAUGCAAGUCGAACGGUAACAGGAAGCAGCUUGCUGCUUCGCUGACGAGUGGCGGACGGGUGAGUAAUGUCUGGGAAACUGCCUGAUGGAGGGGGAUAACUACUGGAAACGGUGGCUAAUACCGCAUAACGUCGCAAGACCAAAGAGGGGGACCUUCGGGCCUCUUGCCAUCAGAUGUGCCCAGAUGGGAUUAGCUAGUUGGUGAGGUAACGGCUCACCAAGGCGACGAUCCCUAGCUGGUCUGAGAGGAUGACCAGCCACACUGGAACUGAGACACGGUCCAGACUCCUACGGGAGGCAGCAGUGGGGAAUAUUGCACAAUGGGCGCAAGCCUGAUGCAGCCAUGCCGCGUGUAUGAAGAAGGCCUUCGGGUUGUAAAGUACUUUCAGCGGGGAGGAAGGUGUUGUGGUUAAUAACCACAGCAAUUGACGUUACCCGCAGAAGAAGCACCGGCUAACUCCGUGCCAGCAGCCGCGGUAAUACGGAGGGUGCAAGCGUUAAUCGGAAUUACUGGGCGUAAAGCGCACGCAGGCGGUCUGUCAAGUCGGAUGUGAAAUCCCCGGGCUCAACCUGGGAACUGCAUUCGAAACUGGCAGGCUUGAGUCUUGUAGAGGGGGGUAGAAUUCCAGGUGUAGCGGUGAAAUGCGUAGAGAUCUGGAGGAAUACCGGUGGCGAAGGCGGCCCCCUGGACAAAGACUGACGCUCAGGUGCGAAAGCGUGGGGAGCAAACAGGAUUAGAUACCCUGGUAGUCCACGCCGUAAACGAUGUCUACUUGGAGGUUGUGCCCUUGAGGCGUGGCUUCCGGAGCUAACGCGUUAAGUAGACCGCCUGGGGAGUACGGCCGCAAGGUUAAAACUCAAAUGAAUUGACGGGGGCCCGCACAAGCGGUGGAGCAUGUGGUUUAAUUCGAUGCAACGCGAAGAACCUUACCUGGUCUUGACAUCCACAGAAGAAUCCAGAGAUGGAUUGGUGCCUUCGGGAACUGUGAGACAGGUGCUGCAUGGCUGUCGUCAGCUCGUGUUGUGAAAUGUUGGGUUAAGUCCCGCAACGAGCGCAACCCUUAUCCUUUGUUGCCAGCGGUUAGGCCGGGAACUCAAAGGAGACUGCCAGUGAUAAACUGGAGGAAGGUGGGGAUGACGUCAAGUCAUCAUGGCCCUUACGACCAGGGCUACACACGUGCUACAAUGGCGCAUACAAAGAGAAGCGACCUCGCGAGAGCAAGCGGACCUCAUAAAGUGCGUCGUAGUCCGGAUUGGAGUCUGCAACUCGACUCCAUGAAGUCGGAAUCGCUAGUAAUCGUGGAUCAGAAUGCCACGGUGAAUACGUUCCCGGGCCUUGUACACACCGCCCGUCACACCAUGGGAGUGGGUUGCAAAAGAAGUAGGUAGCUUAACCUUCGGGAGGGCGCUUACCACUUUGUGAUUCAUGACUGGGGUGAAGUCGUAACAAGGUAACCGUAGGGGAACCUGCGGUUG
rnacentral:rRNA from 1 species